GACGAACGCUGGCGGCGUGCUUAACACAUGCAAGUCGAACGGUAAGGCUCCAGCUUGCUGGGGUACACGAGUGGCGAACGGGUGAGUAACACGUGGGUGACCUGCCCUGCACUUCGGGAUAAGCCUGGGAAACUGGGUCUAAUACCGGAUAGGACCGCACCGUGAGGGUGUGGUGGAAAGUUUUUUCGGUGUGGGAUGGGCCCGCGGCCUAUCAGCUUGUUGGUGGGGUAAUGGCCUACCAAGGCGGCGACGGGUAGCCGGCCUGAGAGGGUGGACGGCCACAUUGGGACUGAGACACGGCCCAGACUCCUACGGGAGGCAGCAGUGGGGAAUAUUGCACAAUGGGCGGAAGCCUGAUGCAGCGACGCCGCGUGGGGGAUGACGGCCUUCGGGUUGUAACUCCUUUCACCAUCGACGAAGGGUUUCUGACGGUAGAUGGAGAAGAAGCACCGGCUAACUACGUG
rnacentral:rRNA from 1 species